rnacentral:lncRNA from 1 species
GUACGAAGUUUGUUCUGAAAUGGAGUGGUUGGUGUAUCGCAUAGUUCUAGAGAUUGGAUUUCAUUCAAAACCCACCAAACGACUCCUCCCACCAUAUUCUGAUGUUCCCUAAGCUUCGGACUCAAUCCGAUAUCGAUUGCUCUAUGAAAUCGGACAAUUCAUAUUCAUACAAAGUUCGUUCUAAAUUGGACUGGUUAGGGUAUUGCAUAGGUUUCAACACUCACCAAAU